rnacentral:rRNA from 1 species
CAGUCGCCGCGGGAAUACGGAGGGGGCUAGCGUUGUUCGGAAUUACUGGGCGCAAAGCGCACGUAGGCGGCUUGGUAAGUUAGAGGUGAAAGCCCGGAGCUCAACUCCGGAAUUGCCUUUAAGACUGCCGAGCUAGUAGGUGAGAGAGGUAAGUGGAAUUCCGAGUGUAGAGGUGAAAUUCGUAGAUAUUCGGAAGAACACCAGUGGCGAAGGCGGCUUACUGGCUCAUUCUAGACGCUGAGGUGCGAAAGCGUGGGGAGCAAACAGGAUUAGAUACCCGGGUAGUCCCUGUCUCUUAUAA